UCGAUUUUACGUCACGCGAGUCGAAAGGAAGAAAAGGAAGAAAAGGAAUCCGUCUGUGUCCCAGAAUUAGAUGGUGGUGGGGAUAGGAAGCAAACAACGUGUUGGCAAGAAACAGAGAAAGAAUGAGAGAACGAGGGGAAAAGAAAGAGAGAGAGAGAAAAGAGUAUACGGUGGUUCGCGAAUAAGCGACAAAAGGAUCGUGCCUCUCACAGACGGAUUACGUCAUUUCCCAAUCUGUCUAACGUCUGGUAUUGCUUUCGUCUAGCGCUCGUCUAGCGCUUGUCUAGCCAAUAAAGGUCUCGACACUUCUAACGUACGCGGCAUACAAUAGACGAAGAAAACCAGUAUUUUCGUGCGAUGAAAAGAGAAGGAGAAAAAGAGAUAGGUAUAGAGACCGUGAACGACGUAAGUACUAAGGAAAGAGAGAGUGAGAGAGAAAGAGAACGAAUAAGCGCGUAAGAGAAACUAACGGACGCGCGAGUACCUUCUGUAACAUAAGCGUUGCACGUGAACUUGCUGCACCUUGAGAAGAGAGUGCGAGGGAGAGAGGGAAAGAGGGUGUACGCGCAUGCACACGUAUCAGAAGAGAGCACAUGCACGUCAUUCGUAAGCUCUCGCGGCGCGUAAGCUCUCGUGCAUUCGUCACCGGCUGCUACAUCACCACCACUCGGUACGAUUCGACGAUUCUCUCUUUCAUUCGGAGCAUAGCGAGACCAAACGGCAUGAACUAACAAAUUCGUUUGUUACCACCCGGCCCGUAGUCUUGCUCCUGGCCGGCCGGGGCUGCCUGGGAUAGAAGAGCAACGCCGCAAAAUGGAUAGAGCAAGAUCGAAAUGUUAUUAAUGCUACGCCGCACGGUCGAGAGAUAGGAAUCGGCGAAAAGUACGAGAAGGACUCGUUGUUCCGUUCCCAAACUUUUGUGGGAGAGUGCAAGGCGGCAGGAUGCAACGAAACAAUCGUUCGUCAGGAAGAGUGGAAAAAGUCAGAGCGGAUUCACGAAGCCGUGACCGGACCAAAACCCGGGCCAAGCCAAAAUUCUUAGCUCGAGAGAAUUCACGGGAUGAACGAAACUGAUGAAGAGCGAAAAAGAAAGAAGAGUUCGAGAAGAAGAAGAAUAAGCAGAGAGCGGGACUUUGCCGCGAUGUUGUGUAGUACGAUGGCAUCGUAUUGCAUCCACGAGUCGCUAAAGGUUCUCUCAUAAGUGCGAGGUUUGGGUACAACGAUCGUUUGAACAAAACCAAAAAAAAACUAACAAAACAAAAAAAGGAAGAAACUACCGUGUACUUUCGACGAUACGUGACGAGGGCAGCGACAAGAAGAUGGCUGCUCCGCCAUACUGAUGAGAGUGGGAAGAGGAAGGGUGUGAGGGGGGGGCCAAAAAUUGGAGAUCGCUACUUUAGCAGAAGAGAAGAGAGAGAGA
rnacentral:lncRNA from 1 species